ACUCCUCCUCGUUCCUCUAUCAAUUCUCCCCUUUGCUGCAACACACACACGCAUAUCACAUUUUGUUUCCCCUUGCCCGACAACCCUUCUUAUCACUCUCUCCCCCUCAUAUUUUCUCUGCCGUGCCAUUUCCCUUCGCCUUAGCUCUCGUACUCGUAUAUCUCUCUGCACUGCCAACACCAUCACACAAACACCAUUCAUCGCAAUCCUCAUUUCUCCCUCCCCGUGCAGCCUUUAACCCCCAUCACAACUACCUUAUCUCUCCAUCAGAAACAUCAUCAAAUAACCUUCAUUCUAUGUCCUCAACUAAGCAAGGAGAACUCCUAUACUCCUCCACAUAGCUCGGCACAGUCACUGUGCAUACGUUUUUCGACUACUUAUCGCCGUAUCCGGUGAGGGUUUUAGCACAAAAAAAUACCUCGGGAAGCUUUUCCUAGAAAAUCUGGAAAUUCAAACCGUGGCUGUUUAGCCUUCUUCUAGCCACUUUUCCGGCCAACUCCGUGUUUCUUCAAUCCUUCCAAGGGACCUAGUGACGAGAAGUACAACCUAAGCAUCGAGACAUUCCCCUACUAGUGAUCUCGCGUCCUUCUACUUGUGUAUGGCUUCCUUAUGAUUGAUGGUAACUCAUUGUCUUUCAUUUCGUUAGCACGUUCGUUUUGAAAUAUGCUCUGAACAUAUUCGUGCAUCUUUUAUUUCGGUUAUUGAAACCAUCGGACAUUGCUUUCAUUCGUCUUUAUUUGGAAAUGUUAUUAUUGCCUUUCUUGCGUUGGUAUUUUUCCCUAUGAUUGUUAUUUGCUAUAUGAUUCUCGAAUUUCAUGUUUCCUUUUUAUACUUGCACUUUCACAUAUUUAUGACUUUCGUCACUCUCGAGUGUUGGCCAACACGUGCUAUCUAGCUAUCACUUGGAUUAUCUGGGUUGGGACAUGUCAUAUUUGGAGAUAACAUGAUUGGUAUUUAUGAAGACAGAAAGCUAGUGUACUUAGUGGCAACUCUUCAAAUCAGUGGCAGUAGGUGCUUUCCCUUAGUAAUGGAGAAUGUUACUCAUGCUGCAAGAAAAGUCAUAAUUUAUCAUGAAGUUCAAAGUUUUUAGUUUGAAUGUUUGAAGGUUGUAUUUGAAUGUAUUGAACGGUUGAGAUUAGAACAUCUAAACAGUAUAGAGUGAGCCCCGUGUAUUAGUUAGUAGUGUUCCAAGUUGACCCGUGCGGUGCACAUGACCUCUCUUACACAAGGGGAACCGUGUGAAAUCUUAACAGCUUUCUUUUGUCCUUUGCUAGCAUCACACUAUAUGUGUGAUUGUUUUGCUGUAGUGCAACCGGAUCUAAGAAAGACGAAUGAAAUCGUGGAGCUACGUACUCCCAUUGCUGCUGAGUUCAUCUUUCUUCUUGCUACUUUAUAACUUUUCCAGAAAUCCUACACAAAACUAUACACAUUUACAGAAAACAACAAUGAGGACAGCGAAAUUCAUUCCAACUUCAGCGACCAGUUUGAAAAAUAUAUUCAGACCUGCAUAUGCAAUGUGAGUCACCAUCAUCAUCAUCAUCAAUG